rnacentral:snoRNA from 1 species
UUCCUCUUUUGUGUUUGUUUAAUUUGUGGACAAAGGCUUUUAAUAGGUGAAAAAACGUACUUUUGCAACUCAAAAUUCAUUGUUCAGUAUGAGUUUUGACGUAUGUAAGAAAGAUUAUG